UAACCGCACAACAAGGCACUACUGGUCUUGUUCCUUUCCAGUGUGCCUGCCGCCUGGCCAGCUCUGCUAACCUCGGGACAUGGAUGAAAAAGAGCUGGAUUUGCCAACAGCCCUUGCGGACCACAGCGCCCUCUGUAGCUCAAGUCCGGUAGGGCAGAAUGACCCCAUCUCUGUCUCCUGCCACAAGAGUGAAUGAAGAACUUACCCACGAACUUGGCCACAAAAUCGAAUUCAACCAAGGCCUUUCUUGUGCUCGCCAUGUUAGCUGUGGAAACACCAUCAUCUGCAUGGCGUCAGCCCAUAAAGGGCAAUGCGGACGAGGACUUCCCCUUAUAGGACACAUUUUAACGUGAGAACCUGCAGUUUUCAUCCCUUCCUGUGACUGGUCCCUCACUCCUCUUGCCCUCCUGAAAAUGCUUCUCACCUUUGCGGACAGUAUGGAACUUGACAAUGUCAUUUUUUAAUCAGAUUUCUGGCUGCUCACACACAUGCUUGUCCUUAUUCAAAGACAUGAGGACCAAAGGUGGUGUUGUCAUGACCCAGGAAUUUCACGAGUAGGAGACUUGGUUGUGUCUGUGCCCACAUGGCCCAGCUGUGAGACCAAGCAGUCGGCAGACUCUAAAUACAAUCAUCUUUCCUGAAGCUGAGCAGCUGAAGUCCCAGUGCCCACGAAGGAGUAUGAUUGGCAUGUGUCAGACAAGGCACUUUGUUGAGAAACUGAAAAAAAGGCCUUGAAUAUGGGAACACUGUUACCUCUGGUAGAAGAAACAACAUCCUCAAGGUUGUUGGAGGAAUUCUUGCAUUGGCACCUGCCCAUCUCCUACUCUCUGGAU